CUCUACAGAAGCGGGCCAGUUUCUAAAGUGGCACCAGUCAGACGACCUUGACCGUGAAGCCGAGCUUCAGGAGGCCCGCCAUUCACCGUCCCCACCUGGCAGUGCUACCCCCACACCUGGCAGGAACGUUUCACAUCGUGUGUCUCUCAGGCAGAGUUUUUAACUCGCAGGCUUCAGGACUUAACUAUUUCUAUCCUGCUUGCUAAAAUGCACCCUGUGUUGGGGCUCUCUGCUCACCUAGCAUCCUCCUCGGUGGACAGAGUUCUUCGAGGGCAGGGGAAAUUUAUCUUGACGGCCCCAGUGCCUUCACGCUGCCUGGCAAGUGAAUCCCAAAUGCUUAAGAAGAUAAAGCACAAUGGUUAAGUAUGAAGCACUCAGGUUAGUGGGGCCGUCUCUGAAUAGACCCUCUUGACCACUGAUUAUCUAUGUGACCUUGAACAAGCUCACUCCCCUAUGGGUCUCAACUCCUCUUCUAUAAAACAGGGCUAAUAAUACUGUGCGUUAUGUAUAUUCGUGAAGUGGUGCAUCCAAACCACUUAGUGUGGAUUCGCACACUGGUUAAGCUUCCAGUGGCUGUCAGUCAUGAUUAUUUUCCCCUUCUUCCUCCUCCUCCUCCUCCUUUCUCUUAUUCAACUGGUCAUCAUGGCAGAUUGACAUUAUUUGCUCUGAAAUAAAUGAGGAUAUUUUUAAGAGAUUAUAGGCAAAAAAAACACAACCAAAAAAGUCAUAUACAAGCAACUUAGGAUUCUUGAAAAUGGAGGAUUACCCUGUGGGUAAUAGAGAUUUGAAGGGCAGGUGUUAUUUUUGCAUGAACUGUAGAAUCUAAGAAAGUAUCACAAUUCAAUGGAGAAAUUAUUGAUGGACAUAUUUUCAGCAUGACUGAGAGAUUUUAGAGAAGCUGAAUUAAAACCAGACACUGUAUUAGGGAUCAACAUACACAGGAUGUGCAAUCAGACCUCUUGCUUCUCCAGCCACAUAGCCUUGUGAGUGUGUUUGGACUCAGAGAGUCUAACAGCCAAUUUACAAACCUGCUGGGACAUACUGUAUUUUUCAGGAUUAAGAAUUCCUCUCUUCAUAAGAUUGAGUUUCAGGGGAAGACACUUUGCCUAGGGGCUGGGGCAGACUAGUCCACGGAUGCCAAGGAAUUGGAACACCGAGUCAGCUCUAUCCAGAGGGUUUCAAGCCAAGGAGACAUCUCCCCUCCCCCUUUUCUGCUGGCAUUGGCAUGACCUUGGGAUGUCACAGGUCUGUCCCAUCCUUGGGACUCUCUGCAAUCAGAGUGUUACUGAACACAGGACCACCAUUCUAGGGAGAGGGUAGCAGCUGAGAAGAGGUGAGGGCAGAACAAUGCUUACUUCUACCCAUCCCAGCCCAACCACAAAAGAGCAAAAAGAGAACUGCGUUAUCACGACAGUGCCCUGGGCUCAAAUAAAAUCCCAAGGGAAUACAAAACAAAUUGGUGCAGUUCUCAUCGACUGCAUGUUACAAGUCGUUAAGUUCUAUCAAUUAAAGGAAGGAUGAGUCCUCAGACUCUCCUUGCACCCCCUCCUCCUUCCGUGGGUGGUGGGUCUCCUAACCACCUACUUUGGGCUUGCUCAUUUUUAGCGCUGAGGGUCCACCCCCAGAAAAUGCCAUCCGAUAUGACAAUAGGAACUCGCCAAAUAUCAGGCUGUGACCCAAGAGACAUCAGCCUACCAGGCCCUGAAAAAAAAAAAAAAAAAAAGGUGUUUUAACCCAAAUACCAAUCCUGUAUAAUAAAAGAACCACAAAAAGAAUAAAAGCAAUUCCCACUUAGUCUACAGCGUGGCCCGUGCACAUGGCACAUGAUCAUCUCCCUAUCACAAGAACAAUAAUCAGACACACAGGGGUUUCUAUGGCCAGAAUUCUAUGUUUUACAUAUAAUAAUAAUUCAUUUAUCACCCAGAGCAGCACUAUAAGGAAAUUUUAAUCCUACAACAACUCCAUUAGGUGGGGAGCUAUUAUGUUCCUUUUACAACCCAAAGCUUAAAGACAUGAGGGUUAUUCAAACCAUACAUCUGGUAAAUACAGGCUUGUGGAUUCAAAGCCAGGUUGCCUGAUCUGGGUUCAAAUUCAAAUCUAUUUAUAUUCAAAUACAGGCUUCUUCCAAAUUAAUGUUCAGUUGUGAUAGUCUCUUGAGUGGGUUGGAAGAGCCUAGAGAAAGAAGGGGAAAAAAAAAUGGAACCCAGACUUGGAGUCACCCAGGGGAAGUGUGAAAGUCUAAGAGUUGGUGAAUAGGGAGACCCCCCCAUCCCACACAAAUUAGUAGAAAACUGGGCUUUUCAUUAUUGUGUUCCUUAAAUGAUAUUUGAACACAGUAGCAUGCUGGUAAAUUGGCUUGCGUGGGGGUGGGGAGCCCUGGCUUGUACUGUUUGUCAAUUUUCAUGGUGUAAAUACUCCCACCAUAGCUGAUUUCAAGGUUUCAACAGUAACAACCUGUUUCAAUGAUUCCUGAAUAUUUAACAAUUGGUUCUUGCCAGAUAGCUGGAGCUGCCCUCAGCACAUCACAGUUUGGGCCCAAGCAAUGGAUUCCCCUGCCACCUCCAGAAGCCAUAUCAUUUUAGAAUGCCUCUACUUUCAGGACAGCCUUCCUCUUUCUGGUUAAACUCUAGUUCUCGGAUGCUUCAAGGUCUUAGAUUACCUCCUGUAUCUUUCUUGCUCUCCCUCUCAAACUGUGUGCUUGUACUUUUUGUAUUUAAUGAAACAUGUUUUUACGUUUGUGGUUCUUGAUUUUAAAGGAAGAUGAGACAUUUACAUUGCUCUUCCUUUGACUGUCUAAUAAACCUAAGAAAUGUGUGUAGCUUUUUAAGUGGGAGCGACCCUUGACUGAGAGAAUCGGUCAGCCUUUGGGAGAAAUGAGGAGCCUGCAGAUGUAUGUUCACAGGUGCCCACUGCCACACACAUCCACUCAAUAAUACUUACUGCAAGCCUUGUAUAGCCAGGAGCAUGUAUGAGCACACUACACUCACCAUUUUGGAUUUGCACCUGUUGCUAAGGGCUCCCCUAUGCUUUAGCCAGGGCAGAAUAUUUUGAGUCCUCAACAGCCAUGCAAAGUCACUCUGUAAGUACACGAUUACCAUGAAGUCAUGAUAUGAAUUCAAACCUAGCAGAUUAAAUUGCAAUUACCCUUAGAGAAAGCAUGUAACUCUUGGGAUAAUCACAUUAUGGGUAAUAUUUUUUUAGAUCUAUGGGGGCACUAAUUUGUAAAGAACAUACAACCAAAGGAAUAAUUGCAGCAAGGGGCUAAAAGGUAAUGACAAAAUAAUUGCAUGUUAUUUGAUCCUUCCAUGAAAACAUGUCUAAUAGAAGAUUCCUCUAAACUGUUUCUUGUACCUGUGGAACAUUUGAAAGUUAUUCUUUUUCCCUUAGUUCUAUUUAAUGCUGAGCCAUAACUCUUUUGAAUAAUCUUGUUUGCUAAAAUAUACUAAAGAGUAGCCUCUAAGCAUAGGUUAGAAACUCAAUUGGAAACUUGAUUUUUCUCCCUUACGCUAUGUAAAGGUUAUUUGCUUUUAAAAGUUGAUGGUGAAUGCAGUCUAUUUUGGAAAAAUAUAUAUAGCAGUGCAAACUUCUUGUUUGUUUAUUAAGGUAGGGAUCUUGCUAGCAUCUAGAUGUGCUUGCAAAAUGCUCCCCCAGUAUCACUAACUUAUUCCAUUUCAUUCUAAUAACAAGUCUGACUGUAUUUCUCUCUCCGUCUCCUUUCUCAUGUCAAGAAUGAAAGCUAAAAGACACCAGAGAUAAAAGUAAAUGAGUGCAUGCAUAUGGUAUGGAAGAGGGAUCACUGAGCUAGGAGAUAAAAGAUACUGGGCAAAUUACUCACCUUCUCCAUCUCAGGCUUAUUAAUUUUAAGCUGAGAAUGCCUACAUUUUGUGAGUAAUUCACACAAAUGCAUAAUGCUUGUGAAUGUGCUUUAAAAACCUGGAAGUGCUGUCUUAAAAUACAGGCAAUAAUUAUAAUCAUAUUCUUAAAAUUUUUGAGUAAAUUAUAGUAAUCGAACACGAUCUUACCAUAUACCACUGCUCCUUCUCCACCCCUCACUGCUCCUAGACCCUGCCUGCCUCCUAUUCCAUCCUGCCUUUGGCAAUUUCUUGUUCUAAUCAUGCUUUGCAAAUGGUCAAGAACAAAAAGCUGCAAAAAGCUAAAUCUUGUAGAACUCUUAUUCUUUGUUAUCUUAGCAGGAGAUUAAGUUAAUUACUGUUUCACUUCUACCUUUAGGACAUUUCAGGGUUUUUCCUUGAAGGAUACUACUGCUAGCUACAAUCCACUGCAUAUAGACACUAAGAGUUAAAAUUGGCAGAGGUCCUGUUGUAGCACAGCAGAAGUUAAACCGACUAGUAUCCAUGAGGACAUGGGUUUGAUCCCUGGCCUUGCUCAGUGGGUCAAGGAUCUGACAUUGCUGUGGCUUUGGCUGUGGCCGGCAGUGACAGCUCCAAUUUAACCACUAGCCUGGGAACUUCCAUAUGCUGAGGGUGCGGCCCUAGGGGGAAAAAUUGUUUAAUUGGCAAGAAUUAGAACUUUUGAACAUCACCAGUAUUCCUGAUAUAUUCCAGGUGGUGAACUUUAGAAAUAUGUUUUAUACCUGCAAUUGAAACAAGGCGUUCCAUGCCUUUGUAAAAUUAUCUACUUACAAAGCAUUUUGCUAAAUGGACUCAUUUCUCUCCCAUCCUCAGAGAACAUGGCGCUGGGCAAUGGCAAUCCCUGGGUAGAAGCAGAAUCAAUUUUCUGUUCUCUGAUCCUUUAUGUCACUAAUGCUUAUUCCAAUGAUAAUUCAAAAUGGAACCAGCCAGUGUUCAUUUAUCACUCAAUGUACUACUGUUUCCAUAAUCAGUUAAACAGUGUUACAGCCAUCAAAAUUAUUUCCUAAGUCUAAAAGAGCUGAAGUGGUCAGUCUUCUUAGGUUAAGAAUAACAUAAUGAGGAGUUCCUACUGUGGUGCAAUGGGAUUGGCGGCAUGUCUGCAGCUCCAGCACGCAGGAUCGUUCCUGGCCAAGCACCAUAGGUUAAAGGAUCCUGCAUUGCCACAGCUGUGGAGUAGUCACAACUGUGGCUCAGAUCUGAUUUCUGGCCCAGGAACUCCAUAUGCUGCAGGGUGACCAAAAAA
rnacentral:lncRNA from 1 species